GUCUCUAUAGCUCAGUGGUAGAGCAUACGAUUGCAGCUUUGGCAGUUAUCGUGCGGUCUCGUGUUCGAACCACGAUGGGGACU